GACGAACGCUGGCGGCGUGCUUAGCACAUGCAAGUCGAACGAUGAACUUGGAGCUUGCUCUGGGGGAUUAGUGGCGAACGGGUGAGUAACACGUGAGUAACCUGCCCUGGACUCUGGGAUAACUUCGAGAAAUCGGAGCUAAUACCGGAUAGGACCUUGCACCGCAUGGUGUGGGGUGGAAAGUUUUUCGGUUUGGGAUGGACUCGCGGCCUAUCAGCUUGUUGGUGAGGUAAUGGCUCACCAAGGCGUCGACGGGUAGCCGGCCUGAGAGGGUGACCGGCCACACUGGGACUGAGACACGGCCCAGACUCCUACGGGAGGCAGCAGUGGGGAAUAUUGCACAAUGGGCGCAGGCCUGAUGCAGCAACGCCGCGUGCGGGAUGACGGCCUUCGGGUUGUAAACCGCUUUUAGUAGGGAAGAAGCCUUCGGGUGACGGUACCUGCAGAAAAAGGACCGGCUAACUACGUGCCAGCAGCCGCCGUAACAC
rnacentral:rRNA from 1 species